ensembl:miRNA gmo-mir-11935 gmo-mir-11935
ACCUGAGCUGGUCUGCAGACUAGACUAGGACCUAAGCAGGUCUCCAGACUGGACCAGGACC